rnacentral:rRNA from 1 species
CUGUGCUCCUGGAUUCAGCGGCGGACGGGUGAGUAAUGCCUAGGAAUCUGCGCUGGUAGUGGGGGAUAACGUCCGGAAACGGGCGCUAGUACCGCAUACGUCCUGAGGGAGAAAGUGGGGGAUCUUCGGACCUCGCGCUAUCAGAUGAGCCUAGGUCGGAUUAGCUAGUUGGUGGGGUAAAGGCCUACCAAGGCGACGAUCCGUAACUGGUCUGAGAGGAUGAUCAGUCACACUGGAACUGAGACACGGUCCAGACUCCUACGGGAGGCAGCAGUGGGGAAUAUUGGACAAUGGGCGAAAGCCUGAUCCAGCCAUGCCGCGUGUGUGAAGAAGGUCUUCGGAUUGUAAAGCACUUUAAGUUGGGAGGAAGGGCAGUAAGUUAAUACCUUGCUGUUUUGACGUUACCAACAGAAUAAGCACCGGCUAACUUCGUGCCAGCAGCCGCGGUAAUACGAAGGGUGCAAGCGUUAAUCGGAAUUACUGGGCGUAAAGCGCGCGUAGGUGGUUCAGCAAGUUGGAUG